GGGGUUGUGGCUCAGUGGUAGAGCACUUGCCUAGCAUGUGUGAGGCACUGUGUUCAAUUCUCAGCAUCACAU
rfam:Ictidomys tridecemlineatus contig051747, whole genome shotgun sequence.